rnacentral:rRNA from 1 species
AAUCAACGCUGGCGGCGUGCCUCAGACAUGCAAGUCGAACGCGAAAGUUUCCUUCGGGAGACAAGUAGAGUGGCGCACGGGUGAGUAACACGUAGGUAAUCUACCUUUGGAUGGGGAAUAACAACCGGAAACGGUUGCUAAUACCGCAUAAUGCAGCGGCACCUAAUGGUGACAGUUGUUAAAGCGGGGGAUCGAAAGACCUCGCGUCUGAAGAGGAGCCUGCGGCGGAUUAGCAGUUGGUAAGGUAAUGGCUUACCAAGGCUACGAUCCGUAACCGGCCUGAGAGGGCGGUCGGUCACACUGACACUGACAUACGGGUCAGACUCCUACGGGAGGCAGCAGUCGGGAAUUUUGGGCAAUGGGCGAAAGCCUGACCCAGCAACGCCGCGUGAAGGAUGAAAUCCCUCGGGAU